GAUGAACGCUGGCGGCGUGCCUAAUACAUGCAAGUCGAGCGAACGGACGAGAAGCUUGCUUCUCUGAUGUUAGCGGCGGACGGGUGAGUAACACGUGGAUAACCUACCUAUAAGACUGGGAUAACUUCGGGAAACCGGAGCUAAUACCGGAUAAUAUUUUGAACCGCAUGGUUCAAAAGUGAAAGACGGUCUUGCUGUCACUUAUAGAUGGAUCCGCGCUGCAUUAGCUAGUUGGUAAGGUAACGGCUUACCAAGGCAACGAUGCAUAGCCGACCUGAGAGGGUGAUCGGCCACACUGGAACUGAGACACGGUCCAGACUCCUACGGGAGGCAGCAGUAGGGAAUCUUCCGCAAUGGGCGAAAGCCUGACGGAGCAACGCCGCGUGAGUGAUGAAGGUCUUCGGAUCGUAAAACUCUGUUAUUAGGGAAGAACAUAUGUGUAAGUAACUGUGCACAUCUUGACGGUACCUAAUCAGAAAGCCACGGCUAACUACGUGCCAGCAGCCGCGGUAAUACGUAGGUGGCAAGCGUUAUCCGGAAUUAUUGGGCGUAAAGCGCGCGUAGGCGGUUUUUUAAGUCUGAUGUGAAAGCCCACGGCUCAACCGUGGAGAGUCAUUGGAAACUGGAAAACUUGAGUGCAGAAGAGGAAAGUGGAAUUCCAUGUGUAGCGGUGAAAUGCGCAGAGAUAUGGAGGAACACCAGUGGCGAAGGCGACUUUCUGGUCUGUAACUGACGCUGAUGUGCGAAAGCGUGGGGAUCAAACAGGAUUAGAUACCCUGGUAGUCCACGCCGUAAACGAUGAGUGCUAAGUGUUAGGGGGUUUCCGCCCCUUAGUGCUGCAGCUAACGCAUUGAGCACUCCGCCUGGGGAGUACGACCGCAAGGUUGAAACUCAAAGGAAUUGACGGGGACCCGCACAAGCGGUGGAGCAUGUGGUUUAAUUCGAAGCAACGCGAAGAACCUUACCAAAUCUUGACAUCCUUUGACAACUCUAGAGAUAGAGCCUUCCCCUUCGGGGGACAAAGUGACAGGUGGUGCAUGGUUGUCGUCAGCUCGUGUCGUGAGAUGUUGGGUUAAGUCCCGCAACGAGCGCAACCCUUAAGCUUAGUUGCCAUCAUUAAGUUGGGCACUCUAAGUUGACUGCCGGUGACAAACCGGAGGAAGGUGGGGAUGACGUCAAAUCAUCAUGCCCCUUAUGAUUUGGGCUACACACGUGCUACAAUGGACAAUACAAAGGGCAGCGAAACCGCGAGGUCAAGCAAAUCCCAUAAAGUUGUUCUCAGUUCGGAUUGUAGUCUGCAACUCGACUACAUGAAGCUGGAAUCGCUAGUAAUCGUAGAUCAGCAUGCUACGGUGAAUACGUUCCCGGGUCU
rnacentral:rRNA from 1 species